CCCCAUCUUAAAUGGCUGUAGGUGCAAGACACUGCACCUUAAGGUUCAUGGAACAACUUGAAUCAACAUCACUCAUGAAAUGCUCCCUUUCCUCUUCACCUCUAUAUCAAAAGCAAUAUGUUCACUUCUUCAACUCUAGCCAAAGAUAUAGUCAGUGUUGUUCAUUGUCGAUGAAUGGAUGCCAAGGCGAUCCAAGAGCUCCUAUUGGAACCAUUGAAACUCGAACGUUGCCUGCAGUUUCUAGUCCUGCAUUGGCCAUGGAACGUCUCAAUUCUGCCAUAUCCGACUUGGUUAAGUCCGAGCCUCCGCCUUACAGCUCUGGCAUUAUUCGCCUCGAGGUGCCAAUUGAAGAGCAGAUAGAAGCACUUGAAUGGCUUCAUGCGCAGAACCAUCUGCUCCUCCCUCGCUGCUUCUUCUCCGGUCGAAGACCACCAACUGAAAUCAUGUGUAUCAAUGGAACUUCUUCUCAUUCUAAAUUGGUCAGUGUUGCUGGUGUUGGCUCUGCUGUCUUCUUUACUCAUUUACGUCCCUUCUCAUUUGACGAUUGGCGUGCUAUUAGAAGGUUCCUCUCCAAGAAAUGUCCACUAAUUCGUGCUUAUGGGGCAAUCCGAUUUGAUGCAACAGCCAAUAUAGCUUCUGAAUGGAGUGCUUUUGGCUCAUUUUAUUUCAUGGUUCCUCAGGUUGAGUUUGAUGAGCUUGAAGGAAGUUCAAUUAUUGCUGCAACAAUUGCAUGGGAUAAUGCUGCCUCAUGGACAUACCAGAGGGCAAUAGAUGAACUUCGCGCCACAAUAUGGCAGCUUUCCUCCAUUCUUAUGACAGUGCAGAAAAAAAUUCCUCAUUCACAUAUACUCGCCAGAACUCAUGUGCCGGGUAAAUCAUCUUGGGACCAUGCAGUUAAGCGUGCUUUGCAAAUAAUAAGCAGAAAUGACUCCGUACUGAUCAAGGUAGUUCUUGCUCGUAGCACCAGAGUUGUUACAGCAGCAGAUAUUGAUCCGUUAACAUGGCUGGCUUGCUUAAAGGUUGAAGGAGAAAAUGCAUAUCAGUUCUGUUUGCAACCUCCCCAUUCCCCCGCAUUCAUUGGAAACACUCCAGAGCAGCUAUUUCAUCGGGACCGCCUCAGCAUUUGUAGUGAGGCUUUAGCAGGAACACGGGCUAGAGGUGGAUCAGAGCUUCUGGAUGUUAAGAUAGAACAGGAUUUACUGUCCAGUGCUAAGGACCAUAAUGAGUUUGCUAUAGUACGGGAGUGCAUAAGAAGAAGAUUGGAGGCUGUGUGUUCAAGCGUUUUAAUUGAACCAAAGAAAGCAAUAAGAAAGUUUUCAAGAGUUCAGCAUCUUUAUGCUCGAUUGAGGGGGAGACUCCAGGCUGAAGAUGAUGAGUUUAAGAUUUUGUCAUCGGUGCACCCAACUCCAGCAGUUUGUGGGUAUCCUACAGAAGAUGCACGGGCUUUUAUUUCAGAAACUGAAAUGUUUGACCGAGGAAUGUAUGCUGGUCCUGUUGGUUGGUUUGGAGGGGAAGAGAGUGAAUUUGCUGUUGGAAUAAGGUCAGCUUUGGUUGAAAAGGGUCUUGGUGCAUUAAUUUAUGCGGGGACUGGAAUAGUGGAGGGAAGUGAUUCAUCUCUAGAAUGGGAAGAGCUAGAGCUGAAGACUUCACAGGUAUUCUUAAUAAUUCUUUCCUGUUCUAUUAGACAUGUCUUUCAUUAUCUAGAAUAUGAUGAGCUCCUCUACUUUCCGAUACUUUUUUCUGCUGCAUCUUUCUAUUGUCUCUUGCAGUUCACCAAGUUGAUGAAACUUGAGGCACCUCUUGUGACUAGAGGACAACGUAGGAUUAUCAAUCAGAAUCAGAAAGUUCAAAGAGCCUGAAAAUCUUGUUAACCUGCCUGCGUAUGAUCCCGGCUUGGGGUGGAUCAAGUCAGGACUUUUUGUGAAUUUAUGAUUGGGAUUUCCAGAUUCGACAAAGAAAGCGCCGUUCAUCAUCAGAUCUCCCUGUGAUCUCCACACCCAAUUCUUCCAUUCACUCUCAGUUGCAUAAUCCCUUUUGGUCACCUACAAGAUAAGGAUGAGGAUCAUAGUAAUCUUUAGCAGUUUUCUCUGCUUGCAUGGCUCGAGUUUGCCACACCUCAUCAAAGUCACCAAUAUUUGCCUCUAUGCUAAAAGCUAAUGCAGCCAAAAUUACAAGAAAACUCAACCUAUUUUUUAGAGUUUCCAUUUUUCAAUAUAGCUAUAGUUUUUUUUUCUCUCUUACUUAUAAUCUAUUCUUUUUCUUUUGUUUUUAUUUUUUUAUUUUUGAUAAAGAUGGAUAAUGUUUGGCUUUUGCAUUAUUCUUUCUGUGUAAGAGGGAGAAGAGAUUGUUUAAAUACCAGUAAGUGAAUGAGAAACAGAGAGGGAAAAGUGGGGAACCGUUUUCACUCUAAUGGUCAACUUUGUUUCUCUGGUUCAA